rnacentral:rRNA from 1 species
UACGUAGGUGACAAGCGUUAUCCGGAUUUAUUGGGCGUAAAGCGCACGCAGGCGGUCUAUCAAGUCUGACGUGAAAUCUCUCGGCUUAACCUGGAGCGGUCGUUGGAAACUGAUGGACUUGAGGCGAUGAGAGGGGUGUGGAAUUCCCGGUGUAGUGGUGGAAUGCGUAGAUAUCGGGAGGAACAUCAGUGGCGAAAGCGGCACCCUGGCAUUAGCCUGACGCUCAUGUGCGAAAGCGUGGGGAGCGAACGGG